rnacentral:rRNA from 1 species
GACGAACGCUGGCGGCGUGCUUAACACAUGCAAGUCGAACGGAAAGGCCCUGCUUUUGUGGGGUGCUCGAGUGGCGAACGGGUGAGUAACACGUGAGUAACCGGCCCUUGACUUUGGGAUAACUUCAGGAAACUGGGGCUAAUACCGGAUAGGAGCUCCUGCUGCAUGGUGGGGGUUGGAAAGUUUCGGCGGUUGGGGAUGGACUCGCGGCUUAUCAGCUUGUUGGUGGGGUAGUGGCUUACCAAGGCUUUGACGGGUAGCCGGCCUGAGAGGGUGACCGGCCACAUUGGGACUGCGAUACGGCCCAGACUGCUACGGGAGGCAGCAGUGGGGAAUAUUGCACAAUGGGAGGAAGCCUGAUGAAGCAACGCCGCGUGCGGGAUGACGGCCUUUGGGUUGUAAACCGCUUUCGCCUGUGACGAAGCGGGAGUGACGGUAAUGGGUAAAGAAGCACCGGCUAACUACGUG